UUAUAUGCCAAUGCAACUGAAAAUACUCAACUAAAGGCCAUUGGUUUUGGUCUUUCUAUUUUCUUUGAACCUGGUCAUAGAUUUGGUGAAAUAGUAGGAAGUCCAUAUUACAUGGCUCCGGAAGUUCUUAGACGAAAUUAUGGAGAAGAAGUUGAUAUUUGGAGUGCUGGCGUUAUACUUUUACAUUUUGUUAUGUGGUGUUCCCCCUUUUUGGGCAGGGUGUGAUUAGCACAGAAACUGAAGAAGGGAUUGCACAUGCAAUAGUGAAGGGAACAAUAGAUUUUAACAGAUAUCCAUGGCCAAGAGUAUUUGAUAAAGCUAAGGACCUUGUCAAAGGAAUGCUUGAUGCUAAUCCUUAUAACAAAUUUACUGUUG